rnacentral:rRNA from 1 species
CCUACGGGGGGCAGCAGUGGGGAAUAUUGCUCAAUGGGGGAAACCCUGAUGCAGCGACGCCGCGUGAAUGAAGAAUGAUUUCGGUAUGUAAAGCUCUUUUAGUAGGGAAGAAAAUGACGGUACCUGAUUAAGAAGCCCCGGCUAACUCCGUGCCAGCAGCCGCGGUAAUACGGAGGGGGCCAGCGUUAUACGGAUUUACUGGGUGUAAAGGGAGCGUAGACGGGAGAACAAGUCUGGUGUGAAAUGCUGGGGCUUAACCCUAGAACUGCAUUUGAAACUGUGAAUCUAGAGUACAGGAGAGGUAAGUGGAAUUCGUGGUGUAGCGGUGAAAUGCGUAGAUAUUAAGAGGAACACCAGUUGCGAAGGCGGCUUACUAGACUGUAACUGACGUUGAUGCUCGAAAGCGUGGGGAGCAAACAGGAUUAGAUACCCGUGUAGUC